ACGUGACAAAUUUUUCCAAUAUGUCAUCCAUUGCCCUCUGAAAAAUUCUAGGAGCAUUUUUUAAACCAAAAGGCAUCCUCAAAAAUUCAUAUUUCCCAUUAUUAACGGAAAAAACUGUUUUCUCAAUAUCAUUCUUUGACAUUAUAAUUUGAUGAAAUCCUGAUUCUAAAUCGAUGCUUGAAAAAUAUUUUGCCUUGCCUAAAUUAGACAAUAUUACGUUAGUAUCUGGAAUAGGGUAACGAUCGGAAAUAGUAUGCUCAUUUAGCUUUUUGUAAUCGAUUACCAUUCUCAGUUUUGGUGUUCCAUUCUCAUUUGUAUCUUUUUUUGGUACCACCCAAAUAGGUGAAUUAUACGGACUUUUACUCGGUUUUACGAUAUUUUCAUUAAUCAAUUUUUUUAUUUCUUCAUUAAUAAACGAAUUUACAGAUAAGGGAUAUGGAUAUUGUCUGCUCCAUAUCGGAUCCUCAUUUUUCAUUCUUAUUUCUGCUUUUACUUUUGUCAUGAAGGGAAAGUUUGUAUUGAUACUUGAAUGCAUUUUACCAAUUUUUUCUUUUAUGUGUUUUAAGAUCCUGCAAUUCUUCAUCCUGAUUUUCAUUGUUUGAACUUUCGGAAUUCUUUACCGAAUAAUAAUUAUCAUUAUCACCAUUCAUUUCUGAGCCACUUUCGCCCAAUAUUGAAUAGUUAUCGUUCAUGUUGCCGGCAAAUUCAUCGGCUGGCGUUGUAGAACUUUUUUGUUCCACAAUAUUUUCUUUAUAUAAUUUGCCGGUAUUAUCAUCGGCUGGCUUUGUAGAACUUUUUCGUUCCACAAUGUUUUUUUUAUGAUUAUUUUUUUCAUUUUGCUGGUAUAAAUCUUCAGCUGGCGUUUUAGGACCUUUUUGUUCCUAAAUAAAGUUUUCUAAAUUUUUAUUUUAAAAAUAAAUGUUAAUACUGUUUGAUUCAUUUUUAUUAUUAUUUUUUUUCCAUAUAAUUUAUUUUCCUAUUGGGCACGUCGAUAAGUGCCUCAAUUUUUUCAAAGAAAUUAUACCCCAAAAGGAGAUCCGAUUCUAAACCUUCUAUUUCGUAGAAAAUUUCUUCGACCCCAAAUAUGGUUAUUAUAUGGUAAUGCUUUAUUAUGGAAUAACCGUUCACGGUUUUUAUCCGUUUAUAAAUGGCUAGUUUGUUUUUGUUAUUAUAAACCCCAGGCUUAAUGUAGCAAGAGGUUGCUCCUGUAUCGACUAGAGCUUUUAAACUUUUUUUUUUAUUUUUGAGUCGUAGAGCUUUAGAUAGGGGAGUUCAUCCCCUCUUUGCCUAAAAAAUGACUCGCAUUCAUGUUGUUUAUCCUCUGGGUUUUCUCCUGUGGGCGAAAGCUAUAAUUGCUUUCCCUUGGUCGUUUUAUUUCUUGGAUGUUUUUAUUUGAAAUAUACCUAUUUGGUUGGUCCAUAUUGGCUUGAUGGCUUGUACUGGCCAAUGGUUUUCCAAAAUUUUAGUAGUUAUGGCUAUUGUUUAGUUGGGGCUUUGGGUAAUUUUCCCUUCGGGUAAAUCUUCCGGAUAGAGGGAAAAUAUAAUAUCUCUUAAUGGAGCGUUAAGUCCAGUUAUAAAUAUUCUAAGAGCCUGGUCUCUAUUCUUUUUGUUCAAUUCUUUUGUUAUUGGUGCGGCCCCUCCAUAAGUCCAUAGUUUUUUGUUAACUAAAUUAUAAUAUUGAAUGACCGUCAUUGAACCUUGUCGUAGAACACUCAUUUCUUGUUCUAUGAUAUGAAUCGGACGUUUGUCCGAAUAUGCAAAACCGAGACGCGCAAUUAUCGCGUCAAAAUUUAACACAGUACCAUGGUUGGUUAAUGUGUCAUUUGCUUCUAGUGUAAUUUUGUUACGCAAAAUCGUAAGGGCUGCGAAGUACUUUCGGCUAUCUCUUACAUAUAAACUCAUACCGUUAUGUGCUGCUUCGCGCCAGCUAACAUAAGCGUUUAUCCUUCCUGAAAAUUCUGGUAAGGAUUUUAUAACAUCUAUGUAGUGACUCAUGACACUGAAUGUUGUCAUUUAUUGUUUUCGUAUGAAAAUCUGUUACUCUGUGUGUUUCAGUUUCAACUUAAGUUUUUAAUUUCUUGCCUUAUUUCUUGCCUUAUUGUAAUAUUGCUUUCCGCAAUUAGGCGCGUAAUUAAAUCUACCGUUAAUCCUACCUCAUUAAUCAUGAUUAAUUAUUAUUAUGUUUUUUUUGUUUAGAGAAAGAACUUUAUUAUUAUUUUAUACUUGUAUAAUCUCUUCUAGGAAGAGAUGCUUUUCUAUUCUGGAGGGCCCUUUUAUGUAGGAUUCGCAGAAUUGAGCUAAGUUAUGGGGUUCUUUUUAUUUUGUUAUGUGGCUGGUCGAGCCUUAAUUUAUAUCUUUAUUUAUUCUAAGCUGGAGGGUCCCCCCGAAGGUGGUGAAUCGCAGCUUAAUUUUAUUUUAUUAUUGGUUGCCCAAACGAGAAAUUAUGUUUUUUUUAUUUUUUUCCUGAGGCACUUUUUCUCUUCGUGAUCCCCACCACAAUUUUUACAAUAGUAUAAUCUAAUAUACUAAGGUUUAAUUUGGGUGUUCCCCAUAAAUAUAUAUAUAUAUAAUUUAUAAUUUUAACAUAUUCAUUUUUCUUAACAAUAAUGAUUAAUUAAUCUUACUCUUUCUCCAAUGUUGUCCUCUGUUGUCUUCUUGUUGUUUCGUCUUUACUCUCACUGUUUCCUAUACGGUUUCCGGCAUUUCUCACGUUGUGCUUACUCCAAUGUUGUCCUCUGUUGUCUUCUUGUUGUUUCGUCUUCACUUUCACUGUUUUCUAUAGUCACAAAUGUUGUUGAUAUGUAUUUGUUUGUUUGAUAGCUUUAUUUAAUUUUUUUUUUGCGACACGAUACGUGUUAUAUUCACUGUUUUCUAUAGUCACAAAUGUUGUUGAUAUGUAUUUGUUUGUUUGAUAGCUUCAUUUAAAAUUUUUUUGGCGACACGACACGUGUUAUAUAUUAGAUUUCGUAUUAUUAAUUUUUGUUAGUUUACGAAGCAUAGCAGGUUUUGGUUUUAACUUUUAACUUUUAAUUUUUUUCACUUUCAUUGAGAUAUUAUUAUUAUGCUUUUUUUUGCAUAUUACCUUUCGCACGAGGAUUUUAGAUUUUUAUUAUUUAUCCUUUAUAAGGAUCCACGAUCACGUAUCCUUUUCCGAGGAUAUUUUGUUUUUCGUGGCCCCACGUUGGGCGCCAAUUUAUUCCCGUAUCGCGGGAAUUUGUAAAAAAAUAUAUUUCCUAUCUGCCAACGCGCAGAGAAAAUAAAACUCGUCGUGUCGAUUCGAUCGCCUGAGACAAAAUCCAAUCUUUAUUUACAAGUUACUAAUAUUUAUACAUUUUCUUAUUAUUUACUUAAAGUUAUUACAUAUUGAAAUUCAGUUUAAAACAAAGGAAGUGUCAAUUUACAUUAAUAUUGUAUUCAGCAUUUUUAGGCAGAAAGUUAAGUGUUCUGCUUUGAUUUUAUUAUGCCUUCUUGUGAGGGCUACAAAUAUUGUUUAUAUAAGAAUGGUUUAUUCUAAUGUGAACGGAAAAAGUAUAUCAAAUUCUUAGAUAAGCAAAAGCAUUAAUAAAGAUUUUAAUUUAUGAGGCCGCACAACUACAAAGUGUAGAGAUUCAAUAUUGUAUACAGUUAUGGUCAAGUGGCUGUGUGGAGGCUGUCAUUAACUUGCAUGCUCCUUAUGAUACUCCCAACAACAGCAUUGUGAUAUUUUCAUGCUUCAAUUUUUCAACUUGGGAAUCGCAAUGUAUGCAAAUACAUACGUAUGUUUUGCGUUUUGCCGUCGGCAAUUGAAUAUUGACAUGUAAACAUAAUUAUGAUAUGAGUAUAAUUUUGUAUGAAUGCAUGCAUAGUAAUAUUUAUAGUCAAUUUGGACUUGCAUAUUUAAUAAUUUUCUUUGAUUUUUACUUAAUAUACCAUACUAAUAAAUAUUUUUGUAUCAUAUUUCCUACUAAUAGAAAUUAAAUGUAUCACAACAAUAUAUAUGUACAUACAUAUGUAUUUAUGUAUGUACAUCUUCUGUUAUAUUAAUCUUAUGUCUCUGCACAUUCUCAUAUCAUAAUCUUAUUAUCUGCUCAUAUAAAUGUAUGUAUACACAUGUGCUCAUUCCCAAAUAAUGAUUUUAUCACUUCUCAAUGUAUUUCAUAUGAGCGCAUUGAUCUGCAUGUUCAUACAUUCAUAUAUACUUAUAUGUAUAUACAUAUGUAUAUUUGUAUACACUUCCGAACAAAUAACGCACAAGCAUAUAAACAUAUGCGUACACAUGUGAAUAUGUCACCAACAAAAAUUGGAGCAUUGCUCUACAACAGUGGCGCUCAACGCAAAAAAAAUCCAAACACGCGUGUUUGACUGAUAAUUCUGCUACUGCGAAAAAUAUCACACGCACACGAAAGCGGCUGAACACGUACGCUAGGUCAGGACAAAGAAUCGGCGUUUGUGCACGCAAACGUAAAAUGUAGUAGUAUUGAGGCGUGCGCACCACUGCUCUACAAAAACAACAAUCGUAUAAAUAGCAGAAGCAUUACAAGUCAAUAUGGCAGCCAAAUUGGCGAAGAACAAAUGUAGUAAAUCUUACAACAAAAGCAAUUUUCAUUCAAAAACGCAGGCGCAAAUUUCACAAGCGACCUCGCUUCAUUCAUAAAAACAGACGCCGUAACAUCUUCCCGAGCAUGCCUUUGCCUACAAGCGUCUUUUCGCGACGAUGGCAAAAGCUAAAAAUCAUAAAUUGAACAACUUUCUGAUGCUUCUUCACAGAAAGAAGUUUGAAAAGUGGCAACGACGGAGUUGUCGAUUUAUAAUAUUCAAUUCUAAAAUAUUUUUCCGUAGCUCGCAAAAAUCAGCGUCGAUAUGUAUGCAAGUUCAUACAUACAUAUGCAUACAUAUUUACGCUAGAUCGUAGGCGAAGCUGUUACAGCGGCAAGGGAAGCGGUAACAAUCGGUGAUCGUUUGUUAGUUUCUUUCGCGUCUCGUCGCGUCAGUGCUUCGACAGAUUGCUGGGCUGAACACAUAGAACGCGACAAACUGCAAGCGCUAUCUGAAUCUGAUAUUGAAAUACACACAUUCUUAAGGACACAGUUAUUUAGACAGCUGCACAACUACAUAACUGUGUCCAUAAGAACGUGUGUAUUUUAAUAUUUGACAGAUGUCACUUGCAGUCUGCCCAGCUCAAUGUGUUCAGCACUUGACUCUUUAACAAAACGCCUGUUUCGGCCAUUGGUUGACCGUGACAACGGAGAUGCGAAAGUGUAUUAUUACACGCGGCAACUCUUGGUUUAUAGACGAGCGACGAGGAGAGGAGAAUCGCGGCGAGUUUCCAGUGUUCAGCAACUCGCUUUGUGUUCUUAUUCGUAACAGUUCGCUGCGACGUUUUUCGGCAUUCGUGUUCCUUCUUUCGUAGUACAUAGUUGCAUUUGAGUAUAUUUUUUUGAAAUUAAUAUUUUGAAUAUAUUGUUACAAAAAUAGUAUUAAGUUGCCGCGGCUGUCUGCUUGUCUGCAUUUGGCGCCGUAUAGCAUUAUGUUCUGGUAAUUUCCAGACGCAAUAUUCUAGAAGGACACGUCGACAUCAGCGAGAAGUGCGUGGCUAUAUAAGCCGUGGCAGCGCCAACGUAAUCAACCAGUGCUAAGAGUAAACUGAUAUAGUGUAGACGAGUUGUAAAAUAAAGAGAUUUUGUUGAAGUGAAUUAAACGGCUUUUGGUUUCAUUUGUCAAUCCAGAGAUACGAACCCAGUAAAGUAAAACUAGCAAGAAGUAAAUUCGCAACAAUUGGUGUCAGAAGUGGGAUUGUCAAAUAAUUCAAAUUCAAGAUGGUUAAAUUCGGAGAAUUGAGAAUUCAGCAAUUAAAAAAGGAACUGGAGGAGCGUAAUUUGCCGAUAAGCGGGCAAAAGGCGGAUCUGCAGGCACGACUACGUGAAGCAAUGGAAGCGGAUGGAAUUAAUGUGGACGAGUUCGAAUUUGAUGAGCCAGGAACUUCUACAAAGGUAGAAGAAAAAGUAGAAGAACAACGAACAUCGUCAAGUGUAGACACGAACAUGCUGUUAGUGGCUAUUAAGCAAAUAGCAGAAAAUGCAGUGCAAACAGAAAAUCGUCUGGCACAGCAAAUGACGCAAAUAGCUGAAAAUGCAGAAAAUGCAGUACAAACAGGAAAUCGUCUGGCACAGCAAAUAGCUGAAAAUGCAGAAAAUGCAGUGCAAACAGAAAAUAGCUGAAUAUACAUCACAGUUAAAGUCUUGCCUUACACAACAAAUGACUGAAAAUAUUACGCAGUUAGAAAAGCACAACAGAUUACAGAAAAUAAUACACAAGUGCAAGAGAAAUUUUCAAAAUUUGAAGACGAAUUAAGCACGUUAAAAAAUGACGAAGAAAAUUUAAGAUCAGAAUUUCUUCAACUGAGUAAUCGUAUGCGAGAACUGCAACUGCAUGGCCCUGCACCAUCAACAAAUAAUCCAAGAUUGAAGGCACCCACAUUCGAUGGAAGUAUUCCAUUUCAAAUUUUCAAACUUCAGUUUGAAAAGACAGCAAUGGCCAAUAACUGGAAUGCAGCAGACAAAGUGGCGUCCUUGUUUGUAUCAUUGAAAGGACCUGCGGCAGAAAUCCUUCAGACUAUUCCAGACUGUGAACGGGACAACUAUGAGGCAUUGAUGAGUGCGAUAGAAAGACGAUAUGGUAGUGAGCACCGGAAACAAAUAUACCAGAUCGAACUGCAAAAUAGGGGUCAGAAAAUGAACGAGUCAUUGCAAGAGUUCGCAACUGAAAUAGAACGACUGGCUCAUUUGGCAAAUGCAGAUGCACCUGUGGAUUACAUUGAGAGGAUGAAAAUUCAAAGUUUCAUAAAUGGAAUUCGUGAUGUGGACACCAAACGCGCCACAUAUGCAUUGCCAAAAAGAACGUUUGCUGAAACGGUUUCGCACGCCCUCACACAGGAAACAGCUUCCCUACUAAGUAAACCAGCACACAAAGUACAAAGGGUUGAAAUGGAACAACCGGCGCUGAUGGAAGAAAUAUUGAAGACUCUGAAGACAAUUGCUGCACAGCGAGUAAAUACAACAGGCAGAUGUUUCAACUGUAGAAAAACGGGUCACUUUGCCCGAAAUUGCAAGAUAAAAGUAAACUCAUCAAAAUGGAAACAACCAACGGAACAUCGAAAGGCGAUUCACCACAAAAAUGCGGAUGUAUUAUCACGUCGCCUUUGUCCACUGGAACGUAAACAUUGCUCCAAAUCAGAAGGAAAAGAAGGUAUAAUCGACGUGCGAUUACUGAAUAUAGAACCUGAAGAUGAUUGGACUCCUCACCGCAUCAGAAUCAAUCAGCUGGAGGACCCUGAUCUUGCAAAGCUGGUAAUGGCCAAAGAAAAUGGGGUACGACCACCAAAGGAACAAAUGAGUAGUGAGAGUCCAACUGCAAAAGCAUAUUGGGCCCAAUGGAACAGCAUAAACCUCGUUAAUGGAUACCUUCAUCGUACCUGGGAAAGCGAAGAUGGCAAACAGUCUCGUCUGCUGAUCAUAAUACCGAAGUCCAUGAUCCCGAAAGUAUUGAAAGAAUAUCACAAUGGACCUAGUGGAGGGCACCUUGGAAUUACAAAAACUAUAGAGAAGAUUAAACAACGGUUCUACUGGAUCGGUUGUCGAGAUUCCAUAGCAGAAUGGAUAAGUAAUUGCGUAGAGUGCAUGGCAGCUAAAGGUCCUAAAGCCAAAAGUCGCGGUAGGCUACAACAGUACAACGUGGGAUCACCAUUUAAACGAGUCGCAAUGGAUGUUGCAGGUCCGUUCCCGACCAGUACGGCCGGAAACAAAUAUCUACUGGUUGUCAUGGACUAUUUCAGUAAAUGGCCAGAAGUAUAUGCCUUACCAAACCAAGAAGCGAAGACAGUAGCCGAAGCGUUUGUAGAAAAUUGGAUAACAAGGUUCGGAGUGCCCGUCGAAUUACACUCAGAUCAAGGCAGGAAUUUCGAAUCUUCCAUUUUCCAAGAAGUCUGUACAUUAUUGGGCAUCCACAAGACACGAACAACAGCGUUACACCCACAAUCAGAUGGGAUGGUAGAAAGAUUCAACCGAACGCUCGAAGAACAUCUGCGGAAAAUCGUUGAUAAAGAUCAACGGAAUUGGGACAAGUGCAUCCAGAUGUUCCUGCUGGCGUAUCGUUCAGCAAAGCACGAGACAACUGGUUACACGUCGGCAAAGAUUAUUUUCGGAUCUGAUCUGCGACUCCCUGCUGAUCUUAAGUUUGGAACGAAUCCUACAGCUGUAAGAAAUGAUGGAGAUUAUUGUUCUGCCUUAAAGGAAGAAAUGAAUGAAUUGCAUCUAAUGGUAAGACAGCACACGCUUCUGAUGAGCAAUAAGAUGAAGGACCGGUUCGAUCAAGCGGCAAAUUCAAAAGGUUUUGAAGAAGGUGAUCUGGUCCUGUUGUACAAUCCACUUCGAAAGAAAGGCUUGUCCCCGAAACUGCAGACAGCCUGGGAAGGACCCUAUAUGGUGAUGAAACGACUUAAUGACGUGGUAUAACCCAUACAAAGAAAUGGGAAAGCACGAUGUAAAAUGAAAGUAGUACAUUUGGAGAGGCUCGCCCCAUUUGGUUCAAGAGGAUUUGUGCCUAAUCGGGACGAUUAGGCUUUAGUGGAGGGCAGUGUUACAAAAAGUAGUAUUAAGUUGUAUUUGUAUUGCUAUAUGCAUCCCUUAUUAUGAACAAUAGCUGUAGGUAUAUGGAAUAGCAUUUGUCUUGUUGUAGACAUCUGGCGCCGCGGCUGUCUGCUUGUCGAAACAAUUGACAUCUGGCGCCGCACUGUCUGCUUGUCUACUUAAACAAUUGCUGAGUCUGGCGCCGCGGCUGUCUGCUUGCGUUUGGCGCCGUAUAGCAUUAUGUUCUGGUAAUUUCCAGACGCAAUAUUCUAGAAGGACACGUCGGCAUCAGCGAGAAUUGCGUGGCUAUAUAAGCCGUGGCAACGCCAACGUAAUCAAUCAGUGCCAAGAGUAAACUGCUAUAGUGUAGACGAGUUGUGAAAUAAAGAGUUGUUGAAUUAAAUUAAACAGUGUUGAUUUUAUUUGUCAAUCCAGAGAUACGAACCUAACAAAGUAAACUAGCAAGCAUAAACUGCUAUAGUGUAGACGAGUUGUGAAAUAAAGAGUUGUUGAAUUAAAUUAAACAGUGUUGAUUUUAUUUGUCAAUCCAGAGAUACGAACCUAACAAAGUAAACUAGCAAGAGUGAAUUCGUAACAAUAUGUAUAUUUUCUUAAUAUGGAGGACCUCUUCUAUCCAUACCCAUUAAC